rnacentral:misc_RNA from 1 species
GCAAGCAAAUACCACAUGCAUUUCUAAAUCCAAGGACACUUGUGUACUAAUUAUGUUUGUUACGUGCUUUUUCUUUGCCCUGGAUUCAAGAAUACAAAACAUCUCCAGUAUGAUAGAAGAGUCAAUGACCUGAUCAUAUGCACAUUGAUUUCAAAGCUAACCCAUACACUCUUCAGAGCAAAACUCAACUCAACUUAACUAAGCUUUUAUCCCAAAAAUU